ACCGAGAAGAGUUUCUUCAUGCCUAUGCAGGGCCAAGCUGGGCCAGGGUGGAGUAACUUGAGGACUCUAUGGGGAGAUGGGCUUAUUAUGGAAGGAUCCCCAAGCACAGCUGAAGAGCUCUGGGAGGAUGGAAGAGCAGAAUAGCCAGAAGCAGCUGCAGAGUUGGCAUGCUGGGAGACGACUAGAUCUGGGAAAGGAUGGGCUGGCAGGGGCACGCCUUUGAAUCCCUCUGCUGGAACCUUUACAGGUUGGCUCUUUGCAGCAUUCCAGUGGUGCCUGGGAAACGCCUGGCACUGCCUGACCACAGCUGCCUCCCUCCAGGAUUUCUUUCUGUUAAUCAGGUGCUUGGUGUUUCUACCCCUAUGGACUACAGACCUUCCACCCUGCUAUGCUCUCCUGGUGGGCAGCCCGUGGUAGCAGCAGG
rnacentral:lncRNA from 1 species